CCGCCGGCGACCGGCGCACGGGUGAGUAACACGUAUGCAACCUGGCCGUGACAGAUGGAUAACCGGGAGAAAUCCCGCCUAAUACAACAUAAUGCCGGGAGGGGGACAUCCCCUGCCGGCCAAAGGGGCGACCCCGGUCACGGAUGGGCAUGCGGCGCAUUAGGUAGUUGGUGGGGCAACGGCCCACCAAGCCGACGAUGCGUAGGGGUUCUGAGAGGAAGGUCCCCCACAUUGGAACUGAGACACGGUCCAAACUCCUACGGGAGGCAGCAG
rnacentral:rRNA from 1 species